AAAGCCCGCAAGGGUGAGUAAAGUGGCGUACGGGUGAGUAACACGUGGGUGAUCUACCUUCUGGUGGGGAAUAACACUGGGAAACCGGUGCUAAUACCGCAUAAGCCCGAAAGGGGAAAGGAGCAAUUCGCCGGAAGAGGAGCCCGCGGCUGAUUAGCUAGUUGGCGGGGUAAUGGCCCACCAAGGCAAUGAUCGGUAUCCGGCCUGAGAGGGCGCACGGACACACUGGAACUGAAACACGGUCCAG
rnacentral:rRNA from 1 species